AACGAACGCUGGCGGCAUGCCUAACACAUGCAAGUCGAACGAGACCUUCGGGUCUAGCGGCGCACGGGUGCGUAACGCGUGGGAACCUGCCCUUAGGUUCGGAAUAACUCCCCGAAAGGGGUGCUAAUACCGGAUAAUGUCUUCGGACCAAAGAUUUAUCGCCUUUGGAUGGGCCCGCGUUGGAUUAGCUAGUUGGUAGGGUAAAAGCCUACCAAGGCGACGAUCCAUAGCUGGUCUGAGAAGAUGAUCAGCCACACUGGGACUGAGACACGGCCCAGACUCCUACGGGAGGCAGCAGUGGGGAAUAUUGGACAAUGGGCGAAAGCCUGAUCCAGCAAUGCCGCGUGAGUGAUGAAGGCCUUAGGGUUGUAAAGCUAUUUUACCCGGGAUGAUAAUGACAGUACCGGGAGAAUAAGCUCCGGCUAACUCCGUG
rnacentral:rRNA from 1 species